rnacentral:rRNA from 1 species
UACGUAGGUCCCGAGCGUUGUCCGGAUUUAUUGGGCGUAAAGGGAACGCAGGCGGUCUUUUAAGUCUGAUGUGAAAGCCUUCGGCUUAACCGGAGUAGUGCAUUGGAAACUGGGAGACUUGAGUGCAGAAGAGGAGAGUGGAACUCCAUGUGUAGCGGUGAAAUGCGUAGAUAUAUGGAAGAACACCAGUGGCGAAAGCGGCUCUCUGGUCUGUAACUGACGCUGAGGUUCGAAAGCGUGGUAGCAAACAGG